rnacentral:misc_RNA from 1 species
GUAGGUGAACCUGCGGAAGGAUCAUUACAGAGAACUUGCCCUUUGGGGUAGAUCUCCCACCCUUUGUUUAUCAUACCUUUGUUGCUUUGGCAGGCCCGCCUUAUUCGGCCGCCGGCUUCGGCUGGUCAGCGCCUGCCAGAGGAUUUCAAACUCUUGAUUUAGUGUUGUCUGAGUACUUGAUAAAUAGUUAAAACUUUCAACAACGGAUCUCUUGGUUCUG